rnacentral:rRNA from 1 species
AUGCUGGAGGUAUCAGAAGUGCGAAUGCUGACAUAAGUAACGAUAAAGCGGGUGAAAAGCCCGCUCGCCGGAAGACCAAGGGUUCCUGUCCAACGUUAAUCGGGGCAGGGUGAGUCGACCCCUAAGGCGAGGCCGAAAGGCGUAGUCGAUGGGAAACAGGUUAAUAUUCCUGUACUUGGUGUUACUGCGAAGGGGGGACGGAGAAGGCUAUGUUGGCCGGGCGACGGUUGUCCCGGUUUAAGCGUGUAGGCUGGUUUUCCAGGCAAAUCCGGAAAACUAAGGCUGAGGCGUGAUGACGAGGCACUACGGUGCUGAAGCAACAAAUGCCCUGCUUCCAGGAAAAGCCUCUAAGCAUCAGGUAACAUCAAAUCGUACCCCAAACCGACACAGGUGGUCAGGUAGAGAAUACCAAGGCGCUUGAGAGAACUCGGGUGAAGGAACUAGGCAAAAUGGUGCCGUAACUUCGGGAGAAGGCACGCUGAUAUGUAGGUGAAGUCCCUCGCGGAUGGAGCUGAAAUCAGUCGAAGAUACCAGCUGGCUGCAACUGUUUAUUAAAAACACAGCACUGUGCAAACACGAAAGUGGACGUAUACGGUGUGACGCCUGCCCGGUGCCGGAAGGUUAAUUGAUGGGGUCAGCGCAAGCGAAGCUCUUGAUCGAAGCCCCGGUAAACGGCGGCCGUAACUAUAACGGUCCUAAGGUAGCGAAAUUCCUUGUCGGGUAAGUUCCGACCUGCACGAAUGGCGUAAUGAUGGCCAGGCUGUCUCCACCCGAGACUCAGUGAAAUUGAACUCGCUGUGAAGAUGCAGUGUACCCGCGGCAAGACGGAAAGACCCCGUGAACCUUUACUAUAGCUUGACACUGAACAUUGAGCCUUGAUGUGUAGGAUAGGUGGGAGGCUUUGAAGUGUGGACGCCAGUCUGCAUGGAGCCGACCUUGAAAUACCACCCUUUAAUGUUUGAUGUUCUAACGUUGACCCGUGAUCCGGGUUGCGGACAGUGUCUGGUGGGUAGUUUGACUGGGGCGGUCUCCUCCUAAAGAGUAACGGAGGAGCACGAAGGUUGGCUAAUCCUGGUCGGACAUCAGGAGGUUAGUGCAAUGGCAUAAGCCAGCUUGACUGCGAGCGUGACGGCGCGAGCAGGUGCGAAAGCAGGUCAUAGUGAUCCGGUGGUUCUGAAUGGAAGGGCCAUCGCUCAACGGAUAAAAGGUACUCCGGGGAUAACAGGCUGAUACCGCCCAAGAGUUCAUAUCGACGGCGGUGUUUGGCACCUCGAUGUCGGCUCAUCACAUCCUGGGGCUGAAGUAGGUCCCAAGGGUAUGGCUGUUCGCCAUUUAAAGUGGUACGCGAGCUGGGUUUAGAACGUCGUGAGACAGUUCGGUCCCUAUCUGCCGUGGGCGCUGGAGAACUGAGGGGGGCUGCUCCUAGUACGAGAGGACCGGAGUGGACGCAUCACUGGUGUUCGGGUUGUCAUGCCAAUGGCACUGCCCGGUAGCUAAAUGCGGAAGAGAUAAGUGCUGAAAGCAUCUAAGCACGAAACUUGCCCCGAGAUGAGUUCUCCCUGACUCCUUGAGAGUCCUGAAGGAACGUUGAAGACGACGACGUUGAUAGGCCGGGUGUGUAAGCGCAGCGAUGCGUUGAGCUAACCGGUACUAAUGAACCGUGAGGCUUAACCUU